rnacentral:rRNA from 1 species
GUGAGGAAUAUUGGGCAAUGCCCGCAAGGGUGACCCAGCAACGCCGCGUGGAGGAUGAAGGCCGUAAGGUUGUAAACUCCUGUUAGAGGAGAAGAAUAGUACCGAUUGGAUCGGUAUUUGACUGUACCCUCAGAGAAAGCCCCGGCUAACUACGUGCCAGCAGCCGCGGUAAUACGUAGGGGGCAAGCGUUGUCCGGAUUUACUGGGUGUAAAGGGCGCGCAGGCGGGAUAGCAAGUCAGAGGUGAAAUCCUACAGCUUAACUGUAGAACUGCCUUUGAUACUGUUAUUCUUGAGUUCGGGAGAGAGAGACGGAAUUCCAGGUGUAGUGGUGAAAUACGUAGAUAUCUGGAAGAACACCAGUUGCGAAGGCGGUCUCUUGGUCCGAUACUGACGCUGAGGCGCGAAAGCGUGGGGAGCAAACAGGAUUAGAUACCCUAGUAGUCC